ACUCACGAGUCAUUCAGUAACGUCGUCAUUAACAUUUUAUAACGUCCCUAAGCGGCGACGGAACUAAUUUGGGGGAGAUAUUGCAGCUUAGCUUAUUAUUGCAGAAUUCAUUCAACAUGAAAGACAAAAGUUUGGACAUAUGUGGCAUUACAAAACCGUGUGGCCAUCGUCCCCCCCACGGUGCCCCCGCUUCCACCGCCACUGACGAACGUGCAUACUAAUAAACGACCUCGAUAUAUUACUUGCCACACUCUACUUGAACUUGGUGAUAGGGCGUUGGUAAAAUUAAUAAUCCACGUUUCUUUUCCCUUUAAAUCUGAAGUUUUAAAUUAUUAUGUCCACCACGAUUUCCUUAACACGAAACGCGAGAAAAACCCCUUAUUCACUUCUUUCCUUAAGAAGUGGGAGACAAGUAAAUCGGACGAGGGCAGAAGGCAAGGUGGUGGCCAUCAAUCAAAAAUCGAUCCCCUUUUCAAGUUCCAUAAUUUUUAAUGAGAUCCGACGGGAAAAAUCGUCCCAACAAGUUGACGACUUCGAGGCCAUGUUCCAAAAUAUCGAAUCCGGAUAUCACGUCGGACACGUUAUGCUUUUCCUCGAAAGGUUAAACGGUCAGUCCCUCUCUUUCUUCAAGUCCUCUGUGGACAAGAUCACUUCUCUGGGUUGCAGCAAGAUUUACCUUUUCCACUCGGAUGUCUCCGGAAGUGAGGAAGAUGUUCAUAAAAUAGUCGACGACAAACGGAAUAAAGACCUCUCUCACCAUUUUGAAAUCGUCUUUUGCAAUUAUCCACAACAUGCAAAGAUUGUCGUCGUCUUAACGCAAAAUUAACUAUUAUUCCUCAAUUAAAGAAAUGUAUGUACAUAUUGUAAAAACGCGUCAAGUUUGCAGCUCUGACGUCACUGUGCUCGUAUCCUUACCAUGUGAGCCAACACCGUAGGAUAGGAGCACAGUGACGUCAGAGCUGCAAACUUGACGCGUUUUUACAAUACAUCAAUCCAUCCAUAUUUAUAUGCACAUUUAAAUAUUUUUUAAUAAGCUGUUUGCUCAAGAGGUGUCAUAUUUAGUUACCUACGUACUUAUGUAAACAUCACAAGUUUAUAAUUACUGAUUAAUACCAAGUCAAUUUAAUGAUUAGAUUGAAACAAAGAGAAAAAUCGUAUACAUAAAAUCACUUUUAUCUUAUCAUGACUAAUUCUCCAGGUCCUUGAAUGCAUUGGUGAAAUGAUCAAAUUAUGGCUGUAAAGUAAUCAAUUUUGUAGCGAGAUACAUAAAGAUAGCAUAAAAACCUUACCAUAAUCCCACUAUUGAUAGAUCUACUUGCCGUUCUAAAAAAAUUAAUACAGCUUGGCCACCAUUACCGACCAUCCAAUCAUUCAUUACCUGCCGGUCACCCGUGAUGGAGGAACAAACCGAUAUCAAUAAAGUCUUUUUUAGACAUAUUCACCAAAACAAGGAAUUUUCUACGUUUCUCGAUUUAUUUACAGAGGAGGUCGGACAGGGCGCGAGGGUUGUGCUUAUUUGUGAUCCAUAUAUGGAUGAGCUAAUUCAGCGGGAGUUGCUCCGAUGGUUUUUGAAUUGGAUUGGAUCGCAUUCACCGAGAAAGGUUUACUUCAUUACAAAAUCUUCUGGCAACAUUGCCGGUGACCAAACUAGGAACCAAUUGUACAGGGAAAUUUUUGAUCGAGCCCUUUCCAAUCGGAAUAUAUUUUUCGAAAGCGUCGCCCAUCCAGGAACACAUGACCGCAACAUCACUGUCUUGGGGGAACGGUCAGUGACAAGAUACAAUCUUGGAAGGGGGCUUCACAUGCUGACCUAUCGACCAACUGACUACAACAGGAAUCGAGAAUUAGCACGUCAUGACUUUUCCCACUUGAGAAGUUUACAAUGUGGCAUUCAAAAAUUUGAGUAUGAAUUUAAAACAGAGCUAGAAGCUACAGAAAAAUUUCGGAGAUUCCUUGCACAAGAAAGUCCCGCCUUGAGUUCGAAUUUCACCCUGUAAAGGACGAGUUAUGCUAAUUUCACCCAAUUUCGGAAUAAUUGAACGUAUACAGAUUACUGCACUGAUAAAGCUUCGCAUAGUCGCAGCCUUACACAUUUUUAUCUGUUAAUUUAAUAAAUUUAAUGUGAAUUUUAUCCUGCAUUUAAAUUCGAGUUCGUUUUCUUUUGUGUGCAAAUACCAAUAAAUAGUAAAGUAUGUGGGUGAAUAAUAA